AACUGUUUAUUGGGCUUCUUACUAGGCCCAGAAGACUCUUGCAGAAAGGACAAACACUGCCCCUUCUCUCCUGGAGCAGACAUUUCAGAGGAGGGAGAUGGAUGAUAAACAGUUGCUGUUGUUAUUGUUGCUGCUGCAGCAGAGCUGAGAAGAGACAUUGGAAAGCAGUAGGAAGAGGAUCACAAAGAUGACAUAGAGCCUGAGAAGGUUCAUUUUGCCCCAGGAAGAUUACCUAGCUAUUUCCAAAGUGAUGCUGCAUACAAGUCUCGAGGAAGGAAAGAACAUUUGAUUCUUAUGGCCAAGCUGUAAAAGUUUUUUAUACCUAAAUCAAAUUGUAAGAUCAUUCUUCAAUUCCAGUAAGUUUUGUAUGGGAUAUAUUAUUAAAUG